GACGUAGGGCGCGAGCGUUGUCCGGAUUUAUUGGGCGUAAAGAGCUCGUAGGCGGCUUGUCGCGUCGUCCGUGAAAACCCACAGCUCAACUGUGGGCUUGCGGUCGAUACGGGCAGGCUAGAGUUCGGUAGGGGAGACUGGAAUUCCUGGUGUAGCGGUGAAAUGCGCAGAUAUCAGGAGGAACACCGGUGGCGAAGGCGGGUCUCUGGGCCGAUACUGACGCUGAGGCGCGAAAGCCAGGGGAGCGAACGGG
rnacentral:rRNA from 1 species